AUACUUGCAGAUUUUGUAUGAACAGAGCGGAGCUGCAGGCUGACGAGGAGGAUGAGGAGGAGGUCGACCUUCAGACAGCGUCCUCGCUCCUAAUGAUGUAAGACCCAGAUCAGUGAGUCCUGAUUGGGCGGAUCUUCCCGGCGCUCAGCUGUGUUUACCUGCUACAGAGAGGAUUUACCUGGUCUGAGACGAUAAACAGAGGAUGAAGCCGAUUGCAGGAAGACGCCGCUCUUCAGCCUGAAGCUCCAGCGGAUCGACGGACGGCACGUUUCAGCGCUGUGGCAGAUUUCUGACGGUCAUCAUCAGAGAAACUGGCUUGGACUAACAGAGAGCUGGUGGACGUGACUGAAGCUCAGACUGAAGCUGGACUGCACUGACCUGUUUCAGACUCCCCUCAGAGUGACGGGAGGACGGCGUUCUGUCCCACUGGAGGAAGAGGAGGAUGAAGAGCAGGGGGUGCUAUGAGGAGGCGAGGAUGAGGAGGAGGACGAGCAACAUGGCGGACAGCAAGGUGAGGCGGGGCAGAGCGAAGCCGCAGCCGCCGGUGGUGUCGUCUGUCAGGAAGGGCUCCGGAGACUCGUACACCGAGUCAUCUGAGAGAGACACAAACAGUUCACACCCAUACUCAGAAAAUGUCCUGGUUGAUGGAGACGUUAACGCUGCACAGGAACAACACUGAAGGCUUCAUCAGUUCUGACUGGCUCAGGAGAACAAGUGACUCAAACUACUGUCGUCACAGGAUCCAUCACUUUGACCCCCAGCAAGUCAUUCGGACCUGAAGAAGCCUCUUGGAUGUGAAGCGAAACGUCUUCGAGUAUCUUCAACCAAGUCCAGUUGCCCUUGAUUUUAACCGAUCACUCAAUAAAGAUUAAGUUCUCUGAUCUUCAGAAUAAAAGCAGACUGUUGAGUCGGGUCAAUUUUGUUUAUACAGCCCAAAUUCACAAAUCUAAAAAAAUCACUCUUUUAAAGUUUGGUCAUGUGUUAUUUUCACCCAGUGAUCUGCACAUUAGCCAAUCAGAUCUGAUUAUUAAUGUAGAAUUUCUGAGGGUGAAGUUCAGGAGACUUUGUACACUGUCUAACAUGCUGUGACCCCUGAAUGCAUCAUUUUAACAGUUUUUAACUGUAAUUACUUACUUAGGAGCCUGAAGAUGUUUUGUAAAUAAGAAAUAAACACUACCAGUCAAAAG